rnacentral:rRNA from 1 species
GAUGAACGCUAGCUACAGGCUUAACACAUGCAAGUCGAGGGGAAACGAUGAGAGAGCUUGCUCUCUUAGUCGUCGACCGGCGCACGGGUGAGUAACGCGUAUCCAACCUGCCUCUGACCAAGGGAUAACCCGUCGAAGGUCGGACUAAUACCUUAUGCAGUCGUCGGAAGUCAUCUGAUGACGACGAAAGAUUUCAUCGGUGAGAGAUGGGGAUGCGUCUGAUUAGCUUGUUGGCGGGGUAACGGUCCACCAAGGCGACGAUCAGUAGGGGUUCUGAGAGGAAGGUCCCCCACAUUGGAACUGAGACACGGUCCAAACUCCUACGGGAGGCAGCAGUGAGGAAUAUUGGUCAAUGGGCGUAAGCCUGAACCAGCCAAGUAGCGUGCAGGAUGACGGCCCUAUGGGUUGUAAACUGCUUUUAUGCGGGGAUAAAGUGAGGGACGUGUCCUUCAUUGCAGGUACCGCAUGAAUAAGGACCGGCUAAUUCCGUG